CGAGGCCUAGGCAUCCCAGCAACCCCACCUGUGAAAACACUUCAGCCUGGGCCCUAAGCAGAGAUGAACAGCAAGCUGCUCACCAUGCUGACAGCACUUCCCUGUGUGUUUUACUUCAUCAUGAAAUCCAAAUUUGGUGCUGAAGUGCCCAUCUAAGCUCACUCACUUGCCUCUUUAAGACAAGAAGAUAUCCAUGGCUGGAAUGACUUGGGAAUUUGAUAAAAUCAAUUAAGAAUGUCUAUAGAUGGAAAAAACAAAACUCCAUAGUGAUUAGAGGCAAAGGAUGGUCAGCAAAUCAUUGUUUCUGGCUGGUAGGUGAUAUUUCUUCUAUUCCUUAAGCCUAUUUAGUGAAGCUUUACAUAUUGGAAGACUGUUUUCAUCACCAAAAGAAAACUCGGGGGCCGUGUACCUGUGACUAUCCUCUGACCACAUCCCUGGCACCAUCUGUUGUGUGUUUAGACCUCUGCUAGCCAGGCAAACCAUUGAAGAUGUCUGUGACCCAGCUGUGGAGGAGAAAGCAGCCAUUUUUGCCACUCACCCUUCCCUGCCUUCCUCCACCAAAGUUCCAGUCAGCACCACCACCUGAUCCCUGUGGUCCCAAAUGCCACACUUCUGAGAUUAACCUUACUGACUACAGCUAGAACAAGAGUUGUCUAUUGGAGGCAAUAAUUCAACAAUCCAAAUUCUUCAUGCUCCUCUCUAUAUUUGUCAUUUAGGAAGUGACUGGUUUACAGUUAGGAGCUUUAAGGACACGAUUCUUUGUUAUUUAGUUCUGCACAAAGUAAUAUGCUAAGUCUUCCACCAACACAAAAUGACAACCAACAUGAAGAGAUAAACCAAUGGCACCAACAAUAGAAACUCACCUACAUCAUGGAGUGAACAAGGUGAGAGGCCUUCAGUGCAGAUGAGCAAUCCUUUAAUUUAAAUCAUCUUUUUUCAGUAGCUGGAAGCUGACUGCAAUUGAAUAAUAGAACUAACACAGAGUUUCAGAAUCAUGGUGUGCCACUGCUGCUGGAUCCCUUUAAGCAAAAAAUCAUGGUGAAGAACACCAGGGAACUUCCAAUGUAAUCUAAACUUUUAUCCCUUUUUUUGGUCUUUUAAGAGCAUUCAAAAAUACUCAGCUUGACUCUUUUAAUUUUUACAUUCUAUCUAUUCCUAGCUCCAGAUGUCUAUUUAUCCACAAAAGGAUAUAGGAUCUGGCUCAGAAUAAUAAGUCCGAAGCCACACCCAGGGGUCAGAUAUUCAUGGAUUUUUUAUUCAGUGUAUGGUGCUUCUAUAUUCAAAUAUUCUCAAAGCUACCAUGAAGUGAGCAGCUUUGCUCUGCCAUGAUGUUUCUGCUUUGGAGCCAGCCAACCAUAGACUGAAUCCUCAAACUGUGAGCCAAAAUAAACUCGCCUCAUUUCAGUUAUUGCGGAAGAGGAAGCCACUUAGCUACAAUUACCCAGAAGGUCAUGAGCACUGAGGAUUUAGUCCCUUGAAAUCAAUUAUUUGGUGUGAAGAGAAGAAAAGGAACAUUUAAUGGAGACCUAUGUGUACGUCAUCUCUUCAAUCCCCUCUAUGGACCCUCAAGAUAAAUAUUCUUUAGGGUGAGAAAUGAGUUCUGGGGGUCAGAGCCAGUUUAGGUCAGUCUGAUUCCAAGGCCAACUGGCUUCCACUGCUGUUAAAACUAUGUGUCAC
ensembl:lncRNA